UACGUAGGUGGCAAGCGUUGUCCGGAUUUAUUGGGCGUAAAGCGAGCGCAGGCGGUUUCUUAAGUCUGAUGUGAAAGCCCCCGGCUCAACCGGGGAGGGUCAUUGGAAACUGGGAAACUUGAGUGCAGAAGAGGAGAGUGGAAUUCCAUGUGUAGCGGUGAAAUGCGUAGAUAUAUGGAGGAACACCAGUGGCGAAGGCGGCUCUCUGGUCUGUAACUGACGCCGAGGCUCGAAAGCGUGGGGAGCAAACAGG
rnacentral:rRNA from 1 species